GGGGCGCCUGUGGGAGUCGUGGAGGGAACUUUCCCAGGCCCCGAGGCGGAUCGGGUAUUGAGUCCAUGGAGCGAGCUGAGAGCUAGAGAUCUAAAGCUUAAGGACUAUGGAGUGGAUCUCAUUGAAGUUUCAGACAAUGGAUGUGGGGUAGAAGAAGAAAACUUUGAAGGCUUAACGAUGUCACCAUUUCUACCUGCCACGCAUCGGCGAAGGUUGGGACUCGACUGGUGUUUGAUCACGAUGGGAAAAUCAUCCAGAAAACCCCCUACCCCCACCCCAGAGGGACCACAGUCAGCGUGAAGCAGUUAUUUUCUACACUACCUGUGCACCAUAAGGAAUUUCAAAGGAAUAUUAAGAAGGAUGGCCGUAUAAGAAAAUAAACAACUUGCUAAAACUGCUGAAACUCCCUCUGCUUGUGAGAUUUAAAAAAACUGGCUGAAAUUGGUUGGAACCAACAUGUCCAAUGGAGUCUGAAUAGAAAGAGCUUGCUGACAUCACAGCCCGAAUUUCCACCACAUUUCAUACUAACUCCCCCUGAAUUUGCAUAUGCAAACCACAAGCAAGCAUGAUCAAACAGACAACUGCGCGUGUCCGAGGACUUUCCAGAUCUCCCCUUUCCUUCCACCAAUCACUUACUAAUCUGAGAAUCCAUCCCCUAAUAAAAUCACUGCCUUAAAGCCUGCACAGGAAGACAAA
ensembl:lncRNA PMS2P4 PMS1 homolog 2, mismatch repair system component pseudogene 4